GACGAACGCGGCGGCGUGCCUAAUACAUGCAAGUCGAGCGAAGUUUUUCUGGUGCUUGCACCGGAAAAACUUAGCGGCGAACGGGUGAGUAACACGUAAAGAACCUGCCUCAUAGACUGGGACAACUAUUGGAAACGAUAGCUAAUACCGGAUAACAGCAUUAACUGCAUGGUUGAUGUUUAAAAGUUGGUUUUGCUAACACUAUGAGAUGGCUUUGCGGUGCAUUAGCUAGUUGGUGGGGUAAAGGCCUACCAAGGCGACGAUGCAUAGCCGACCUGAGAGGGUGAUCGGCCACACUGGGACUGAGACACGGCCCAGACUCCUACGGGAGGCAGCAGUAGGGAAUCUUCCGCAAUGGGCGAAAGCCUGACGGAGCAACGCCGCGUGAGUGAAGAAGGAUUUCGGUUCGUAAAGCUCUGUUGUUAGGGAAGAAUGAUUGUGUAGUAACUAUACACAGUAGAGACG
rnacentral:rRNA from 1 species